rfam:Triticum aestivum genome assembly, contig: Triticum_aestivum_CS42_TGACv1_scaffold_577100_7BL
CACAUACUCCCACGUCCUAAAAUUCUUGUCUUAGAUUUGUCUAAAUACGGAUGUACCUAAUAUUAAAACAUGACUUGAUACAUCCGUAUCUAGACAAAUCUAAGACAAGAAUUUUGAGACGGAGGGAGUACCUA